rnacentral:lncRNA from 1 species
CCCCAACCCCACCAACAAACGUGUCACUUCUGAUGCCAGCACUCGUCCUUCUUUCCUCUCUCUCUCUUCCUCCCUCUAUCUAUCCUUCUCUCUUGGGUGCUGGUGGUCCCCCACUCCUAUUGGCCACUCUGCUGGGUCUGCUGGGCAUAUUUUUAGGCUGGUAUCUCACCAGAGAAAGAGAGAAAGGGAGCGAAGAGAGAGAGAGACGGAGAGAGAGAGAGAGAGAGUGGGGGGAGAGGGGUAGCCCAGAGAGGGGAUAUAUACAGCCCACCCACCGAGGACAAAGAGAAACACACACUCUCUCCAGCUGACCCUGACUCUUGCUCUGCCUUUCUUUUUCUCAUCGUUCACUGAUCGCCUUCUCAUCUCCCUCCUUCUCUCUCUCUCUUCUCUCUUCAUCUAUACUGGUAAUAUCAUCUUCAUUUCAUAAGAAGGAGCUGUUUUCUACGUCCCUGACAAGUUGAGUUUCAGAGGGGGAGUUAGGGGAGGUGGGCAUGUUGUGUCAUGUUCACGGCCACAGCUGCAGACUGAAAGCCCUGACUGCAGAACCCAACAGAGAACUUCGGAACACCACACUCCAGAUAUCAGAACAUCAGCACCCAACUUCAGAACAUGGAACAGGAAACGAAGAGCGAAGAGCCGAGACCUCAACACAAACAAGAACCCAGUAAGAUGCAGAGCCAGAGGAAAAACAUCCGUGGUGUGGUGGCAAAGUCCAGAGCCAAUCAGAACGGCGGAGAUGAGCAGAGGCCACGCCCCGCUGCGUUGGGAUUGGACGGGGUGGUGUCCAGGAGGGCGGUGUUUGAGCAAUGGGCGGAGUCGCUGAGCGAGGAGCGCCCGAGCACCAAGCGGCAGCUCUCGGCCGAGAGUGUGGCGAAGUGUGUGAGCGUGAGCAAGAGGAGAGACACUGUGGUGCACGCGAACACGCACGCUUCAAAAGCCCUCACACACACCAGCCCUGCCACGAAGCCAGGGAAACCCCUCACACGGCGGAGGUCCCGCAAACAGCUGUUCAACAGCACAGAUGUGUUCCAAAGAGUGGAAACACACGCCAUCAAUGCAGGGAAAGAGCUUCGGGAACAGUGUGUGUUUUCUGCGUCAACCACAGCUCAGUGUGUGACCCAGGGGGCCAGGAAUGAGCUGGAGAAGCUCAGAGCCAUCUGGGUGUGGUUGUGUCACAACAUUGGUACGUCUCCAACAUACACACAAACACACACACAAUAUGGGACAAAUUUGGU